CGCUGACCGCAGGCAGAGGGGAGGGAGCGCGAGGAAAACAGCCGGAAAUGACGCACGACCGAGGUGACGGCAGGGCAAGGGGAGGAAAAAAACAGGUCUCGUUGCCUUGGAGACCGUUCGGCUCGCCUGCGUCAGAUGAACCAAGGAGCGCUUGAGGGGUGAGGAGACGAAAGGAUUCUGCAGUGCUCUCGUUAGGAUCAGCUACAAGCUCCCGGUUGUUGCUUGAAGCCCUUCACCACCCAGUUCUUGAACUACCUUUCCAGGCUUAUCACACGUCAUUCCCUGCCAUGUCAAAUCAUUAUAGAUGCCUAUGAGACCUCCAGUUUGAGAUGUCCAAUAAGAAGCUGGAAACGCAACACUGAAUGUCACAAGAGAUGUUAGGGCUGGAUAAGAUCUGAGAAACAUCUGCCUAGAAAAGAUAAUCCUGUCAUGCAUUUAUCUCAAAGGCCACCUUCUACGUGAGACCUUUCUUUCUUGAUCCUCCUGGCUUCAUCCCCAGCAAUCAGCUUGCAUUUUUAUAGUGUGUAUGUAUCUCUGUGUGUAAAAUAUGUGGCUGCAAGCUCUGGUAGGUCCUAAUCAAGUUGGAAAGACUGAGUAUGGUCCCAGGUACAGACAAUAUCCUAUGAGGACCAGCCAAACUAAUAUGGAGAAGCUCAGAACCAGGCUUCAGAUAGUUCUAAGGUCAUUUACUGAUUUGUGGUUUGCAAUCUGCAUUGGUAAAGGGAGUACCUGCAAUGAUGAAAAAAUAAAUCUUUAGAGCAGCA